CCUUUUCUGUUUUAUAAUUGGUUUUGUCAAGAUAAGCACAGAUCUCAAAACCGCGAGCAUCGUGACAGCUCUUCCGUCAGGUGGUGAACACAGUGAUACAAACUAACAGCCGACAAAAACGACCUCAGUUCGUGUUCUGGCUUUUAUAAAAUGAUAUGUGUGUGCUAAUCAAACACGAAGCGAAGUGUUCUUUUUGUUUUACUAUGUGAGUCAUUUCUCUUCCUGCACACAGUAACAUAGAAUGAGGAAUUUCAUUUCCACAAGAGUUUACGUACCUUGCA